rnacentral:rRNA from 1 species
GACGAACGCUGGCGGCGUGCCUAAUACAUGCAAGUCGAACGCUGAAGGAGGAGCUUGCUUCUCUGGCUGAGUUGCGAACGGGUGAGUAACGCGUAGGUAACCUGCCUGGUAGCGGGGGAUAACUAUUGGAAACGAUAGCUAAUACCGCAUAAUAGCAGUUGUUGCAUGAUAACUGUUUGAAAGGUGCAAUUGCACCACUACUAGAUGGACCUGCGUUGUAUUAGCUAGUUGGUGGGGUAACGGCUCACCAAGGCGACGAUACAUAGCCGACCUGAGAGGGUGAUCGGCCACACUGGGACUGAGACACGGCCCAGACUCCUACGGGAGGCAGCAGUAGGGAAUCUUCGGCAAUGGACGGAAGUCUGACCGAGCAACGCCGCGUGAGUGAAGAAGGUUGUCGGAUCGUAAAGCUCUGUUGUAAGAGAAGAACGAGUGUGAGAGUGGAAAGUUCACACUGUGACGGUAUCUUACCAGAAAGGGACGGCUAACUACGUG